rnacentral:rRNA from 1 species
CCUACGGGCGGCAGCAGUGGGGAAUAUUGGACAAUGGGCGAAAGCCUGAUCCAGCCAUGCCGCGUGUGUGAAGAAGGCCUUCGGGUUGUAAAGCACUUUCAGUGGGGAAGAAAGCCUUGGGGCUAAUACCCUCGAGGAAGGACAUCACCCACAGAAGAAGCACCGGCUAACUCCGUGCCAGCAGCCGCGGUAAUACGGAGGGUGCGAGCGUUAAUCGGAAUUACUGGGCGUAAAGCGCGCGUAGGCGGUCGUUAAGCCGGUUGUGAAAGCCCCGGGCUCAACCUGGGAACGGCAUCCGGAACUGUCAGGCUAGAGUGCAGGAGAGGAAGGUAGAAUUCCCGGUGUAGCGGUGAAAUGCGUAGAGAUCGGGAGGAAUACCAGUGGCGAAGGCGGCCUUCUGGACUGACACUGACGCUGAGGUGCGAAAGCGUGGGUAGCAAACAGGAUUAGAUACCCCAGUAGUC